CGUAGGUCAACUCGGCAAUGGGAUGCGGGAUUCGAAGCCCUCCGAGGGAUGAUAUAGGCUCUCCCAUCCAACUCCUAUUGGUAACAUCCAGAGUGGUAACAUGAGCCUACAUAUAUCCUAGCUUGGGUACACGAGCAAGAUCCAAGCCCUUGGGCAGUUGGUGGCAUAUGGCGAACCAGGAGGGG
rnacentral:ribozyme from 1 species